AACGAGCAGUCUUUUCGAUCUUACUAUAAAAAACUAAUGGUUCCAACGGUUGCCUUUAGUAAAAAACCAAGUGAACCUCUAGGAAUCAAACAAAAGAAAAAUUAAAAUGUAAAAAUUAAAUUAAAAACAUAAAAUUAAAAUAAAAAUAAAAAUGCUAAACUAAUAGAAAUAAAGUUUUCCUAAUAUUCUAGUCCCAGCAACGACACC
rnacentral:lncRNA from 1 species